rnacentral:rRNA from 1 species
UACGUAGGGGGCAAGCGUUAUCCGGAAUUACUGGGUGUAAAGGGAGCGUAGACGGUAAUGUAAGUCUGGAGUGAAAGGCGGGGGCCCAACCCCCGGACUGCUCUGGAAACUAUGUUACUAGAGUGCAGGAGAGGUAAGCGGAAUUCCUAGUGUAGCGGUGAAAUGCGUAGAUAUUAGGAGGAACACCAGUGGCGAAGGCGGCUUUCUGGACUGUAACUGACACUGAGGUACGAAAGCGUGGGGAGCAAACAGG